rnacentral:rRNA from 1 species
ACGGAAGGCAGCAGUGGGGAAUAUUGCACAAUGGGGGGAACCCUGAUGCAGCAACGCCACGUGUGGGAAGAAGCAUUUCGGUGUGUAAACCACUGUCGUGAGGGAAUAAUGCCUGGUUUCGGCCAGGUUGAAUGUACCUCGAAAGGAAGCACCGGCAAACUUCGUGCCAGCAGCCGCGGUAAUACGAGGGGUGCAAGCGUUGUUCGGAAUCACUGGGCGUAAAGGGAGCGUAGGCGGAGGAGCAAGCAGUCUGUACAAUACCGGGGCCCAACCCCGGACCUGCAGACUGGACUGUUUCUCUUGGAUAGUUCAGGGGCUGGCGGAAUUCCUGGUGUAGCGGUGGAAUGCGUAGAGAUCAGGAAGAACACCGAUGGCGAAGGCAGCCAGCUGGGGACUCAUCGACGCUGAGGCUCGAAAGUGCGGGUAGCAAACAGGAUUAGAUACCCUGGUA